rnacentral:tRNA from 1 species
GGGGCCGUGGCCCAGCCAGGAAGGGCGGCGGGCUCCAGACCCGUAGGUCCGGGGUUCAAAUCCCCGCGGCCCCACCA